UUACACAUGCAAGUCGAGCGGAAACGAUGGGAGCUUGCUGCCCAGGCGUCGAGCGGCGGACGGGUGAGUAACACUUAGGAAUCUACCUAGUAGUGGGGGAUAGCUCGGGGAAACUCGAAUUAAUACCGCAUACGUCCUACGGGAGAAAGGGGGCAACUUGUUGCUCUCGCUAUUAGAUGAGCCUAAGUCGGAUUAGCUAGUUGGUGGGGUAAAGGCCUACCAAGGCGACGAUCUGUAGCUGGUCUGAGAGGAUGAUCAGCCACACCGGGACUGAGACACGGCCCGGACUCCUACGGGAGGCAGCAGUGGGGAAUAUUGGACAAUGGGGGCAACCCUGAUCCAGCCAUGCCGCGUGUGUGAAGAAGGCCUUUUGGUUGUAAAGCACUUUAAGCAGUGAAGAAGACCUAACGGUUAAUACCCGUUAGCGAUGACAUUAGCUGCAGAAUAAGCACCGGCUAACUCUGUGCCAGCAGCCGCGGUAAUACAGAGGGUGCAAGCGUUAAUCGGAAUUACUGGGCGUAAAGCGAGCGUAGGUGGCUUGAUAAGUCAGAUGUGAAAUCCCCGGGCUUAACCUGGGAACUGCAUCUGAUACUGUUAGGCUAGAAUAGGUGAGAGGAAGGUAGAAUUCCAGGUGUAGCGGUGAAAUGCGUAGAGAUCUGGAGGAAUACCGAUGGCGAAGGCAGCCUUCUGGCAUCAUAUUGACACUGAGGUUCGAAAGCGUGGGUAGCAAACAGGAUUAGAUACCCUGGUAGUCCACGCCGUAAACGAUGUCUACUAGUCGUUGGGUCCCUUGAGGACUUAGUGACGCAGCUAACGCAAUAAGUAGACCGCCUGGGGAGUACGGCCGCAAGGUUAAAACUCAAAUGAAAUUGACGGGGGCCCGCACAAGCGGUGGAGCAUGUGGUUUAAUUUCGAUGCAACGCGGAGAC
rnacentral:rRNA from 1 species